GCGGAUCGCUGGAUGACCGCGCGCAUGCAUAGGUCCGGGUUCGCCCCGGAUACCUGCCUGCGCGAGGAAAGUCCGGACUCCAUGAAGUGACGGUGCCGGGUAACGCCCGGCGGGGGCAACCCCAGGGAAAGCGCCACAGAAAACAGACCGCCCUGCGUGCAGGGUAAGGGUGAAACGGUGGGGUAAGAGCCCACCGCGGGACUGGCAACAGGACCGGCACGGCAAGCCCCACCGGGAGCAACGCCGAAUAGGGACCGCAGGCGGGCCGCAAGGCACCGCAGGGGAGCUUCGCCCCGGGCGGUCCGGGUUGGCGGCUUGAUCCCGCAGGCAACUGCGGGGCCAGAGGAAUGGUCAUCCAGAGGGGGCAACCCCUUGGACAGAAUCCGGCUUACAGGCGAUCCGCGCAU
rnacentral:RNase_P_RNA from 1 species